UUGAACGCUGGCGGAAUGCUUUACACAUGCAAGUCGAACGGCAGCACGGGGGCAACCCUGGUGGCGAGUGGCGAACGGGUGAGUAAUACAUCGGAACGUGCCCAGUCGUGGGGGAUAACGCAGCGAAAGCUGUGCUAAUACCGCAUACGAUCUACGGAUGAAAGCGGGGGACCUUCGGGCCUCGCGCGAUUGGAGCGGCUGAUGUCGGAUUAGCUAGUUGGUGGGGUAAAGGCCUACCAAGGCGACGAUCCGUAGCUGGUCUGAGAGGAUGAUCAGCCACACUGGGACUGAGACACGGCCCAGACUCCUACGGGAGGCAGCAGUGGGGAAUUUUGGACAAUGGGCGCAAGCCUGAUCCAGCCAUGCCGCGUGAGUGAAGAAGGCCUUCGGGUUGUAAAGCUCUUUCAGACGGAAAGAAAUCGGGCGCGUGAAUAGCGUGCCUGGAUGACGGUACUGUCAGAAGAAGCACCGGCUAACUACGU
rnacentral:rRNA from 1 species